UCUGCCAGUUCCCGAGCACUGCAUGAGGGUGUGGGCACCUCAAAGGUUUCAUGGAAGCUAGCGUAGUCCACCUCAUAGAAACCGUCCUCCAGGGUGAGCACGGAUGUGAAUCGGUGGCCCCACAACACUUCGUCUACCAGAGACACCUCCACCCGCCCCCAAGCAAUGGGCAACUAGCUGAGCUGAUUACGGUCCAGGAUUGAAAGCUUGCCACUGCACCAGAAGCCCAGUCCUCGGUGUGAUGGUGACAAUUGUCUGGAUCCUUACAAAAGUGUAUUACAUUCAUAGCUGGGGCCGAACCCAGGGCCUUGCGCUUGCCUAUAGGCAAGCGCUCUACCACUGAGCUAAAUCCCCAACCCCCCUGGGUUAUCUCUUACGCAAACUGAAAUCUGUCUCCCGGGACCUGUGCCCCUGAGUGUCUGUAAAUACAGCCCGGGGUUCCCUUGCAUCUUCUCUUCCUCAGACUGAACACUCAUGACCUCAUGACCGUCUCUUACUUCCUCUGACUCCCCCAAAGCUUUCUGUCCUCAUUGGAAAUCACGGAGGCCCAGGUCAGGGUCUGAAGUGCCAUACAUUUCUCCAACUGUGGCCUCAUCUGUGCGUAAGAGAAGGCUUACUAUCUCUUGCUUCUUACCAAGAUGCUUUAGUGAAGCGGCCCGUGAUGACAUUACAUAAACGCCUCUGGAAGCUGCAUCACGUUGCUACAGCAAGCCUGUGGCCAACUAAAACCCCCAGUUCUUUCUCCACCGGAGCCUUUCCAUACUGAGCUUACAUAAGUGAUUUUUUUUAAAGCCUAAAUGUAGAAUUUUAUAUUUAUUCCCCUUAAAUGUCAUCAUGUUGGGUUUUGGCUCAUUAUUCUUGCUUUUCAAAAGUAGUUUGAAUCCCAAAAUACUACCGUCCUUUCCAGCUUUAUCUCUAGAAACAUCAAACAAGCUCCCGCCCCCUUGUCCUUUAAACUGCCCUUCCCAGUUCUUGCCCCGAGCCUGUGUCCUGUCUUC